rnacentral:sRNA from 1 species
UCACCGUAUAUUCUCGUGCCAUUUGAUC